UGAUAAACAUAUUGUGCAAUAUAGUGUAUAGGCGCCACACAUAUACGUGUGGCAAAGAGGUUCACUUUGCAACUACGUAGUUCGAAGUUUGAUCACACUGCGCUACACUGUGGGCAAGCACCAUCUUCGGUAACUUUGAAUUGAUCAGUAAUACUUUAAAUGAUAAGGACCCAUUGGAUCAAGUACUCCUAGAUAACCUAAAAAGACAGACAGUAUGAUCAUGACUAGAAUACCUUUAAUCAUAAAUAUGCUGGGUCAAUCAGGUUUGAUCAAUAACAUCGAUAACAAUUGCCUCAGUCAAUUUUUACAACAAGAUGUAAACCAGGCAUGGGCAACCUUUUUGGGGUAGCAAGCCACAUGAGACAUGACUCAUCAUCAGGAAGGCUGUGCUGCUAAAAAAA